GAAACGCAGUACCUGGUCGUGCGAGCUGUUAGUCUGCAGAGUGGGUAAUGUCAACACUGCAGCUGUGUUCGAAUCAUUGAUUUUGGGAGCCAGUCAGUGAAAUACCUCGACGUACGUAACGUCCCUGUUGUGACAUAUGCAAUCAACAUACAUUCAUUGUGAUUAAUUCCUGGAGUUAUGAGAAUAUACGACACUUUGGGAUACAAUGUAAUCAUCAAUAUAAGCUUACAUGCAGAUGUAGAUUAGAAAUAUGCUCACAAUGGACACAUAUAAUCCCCAGACAAUGAGUGAACCAGAAUCAACGUUGCUGCCUUUGGACACAACGUCACCGUCAUCCCCGUCACGUCAACGACGCCGCCCGGGAGUUUUAUUCUAUACUGUCAUCACUGUGUCCCUUACUGCAAACGUUCUUCUUGUUGUCGCGGUCACCGUCCAGACAAUGAUGGCGUCACGUGACUCGCACAAGGUGAGUGUAGAGGGAUUCUCAAAUUCGCUUAGCCACGUGGACACCGCCGCUUAAGUCUGUUUCACCUGUGACCACCUGGGCCCGCUGAUCGAAUCCAAGGACACUCUCUAUGACGUCAUACGACUCUCUUCUGGUCACACGUUUUGUUGUCAGAGACAGAAUAAUGACGUCACCAAGCUUUUCAGAAAGAUCGUAUCGGACGAAUAUCUGAGGCGAUUGACAGGACGCGAGCCACCCAAGUCAGAUAGGGAUAGGAGACACGGGCUGAAUAUCAACAAAGGGUCAACAGGAGCUCAUCUUUAUAUGGUCCCUCAAGCAGAUUCGCCGCCAUCAUGGACAUCAAGCGACAUCUACAACACCUCCUACUGCUUCAACGUGGUGUGUGGUGAUGGGGGUAUUGUCGUUCCAGCGGCCGGCAUUUACCUGGUGUACUCUCACCUCACGUUCACCACACAGCCAGCCUCUGAAGAUACAUUCAUACACGUCAUACAGCGGCGGAACCGGAACUUGCCUGGUCUGGACAUGCAUCAUCAACCAAGUCAGCGAGCCUGACAACGGGUCAGAAGAAAUAUGCAACCGAUUCUCCAGUGAUCAUGUUCUAAAUAUGACCCUGUGACAUCACCGGAUGUUUAUAUACAAUUUUGUAACCCGAGACAAACGGGAAAUUACUUUCUUUGUUUGUUGUUUAAC